AGCUCCAAUAGCGUAUAUUAAAGUUGUUGCAGUUAAAAAGCUCGUAGUUGGAUUUCUGGCUUGGCAUGUGCGGUCUUACCUAUGGUAAGUACUUCGCGGCCGAGCCUUCCUCUCGAAUACUGUGCGUUCCCUUAACUGGGCGCGCUCAGGAGUCGGGACCUUUACUUUGAAAAAAUUAGAGUGUUCAAAGCAAGCAAUCGCUUGAAUACAUUAGCAUGGAAUAAUGGAAUAGGACUUUGGUUCUAUUUUGUUGGUUUCUAGGACCGAAGUAAUGAUUAAUAGGGAUAGUUGGGGGCAUUAGUAUUUAAUUGUCAGAGGUGAAAUUCUUAGAUUUAUUAAAGACUAACUUCUGCGAAAGCAUUUGCCAAGGAUGUUUUCAUUAAUCAAGAACGAAAGUACG
rnacentral:rRNA from 1 species